rnacentral:rRNA from 1 species
GAUGAACGCUGGCGGCGUGCCUAAUACAUGCAAGUCGAGCGAACAGACGAGGAGCUUGCUCCUCUGACGUUAGCGGCGGACGGGUGAGUAACACGUGGAUAACCUACCUAUAAGACUGGGAUAACUUCGGGAAACCGGAGCUAAUACCGGAUAAUAUAUUGAACCGCAUGGUUCAAUAGUGAAAGACGGUUUUGCUGUCACUUAUAGAUGGAUCCGCGCCGCAUUAGCUAGUUGGUAAGGUAACGGCUUACCAAGGCAACGAUGCGUAGCCGACCUGAGAGGGUGAUCGGCCACACUGGAACUGAGACACGAUCCAGACUCCUACGGGAGGCAGCAGUAGGGAAUCUUCCGCAAAGGGCGAAAGCCUGACGGAGCAACGCCGCGUGAGUGAUGAAGGUCUUCGGAUCAUAAAACUCUGUUAUUAGGGAAGAACAAAUGUGUAAGUAACUAUGCACGUCUUGACGGUACCUAAUCAGAAAGCCACGGCUAACUACGUG